UGCGUAGGCGGAUUAAUAAGUCAGUGGUGAAAACCUGCAGCUUAACUGUAGAACUGCCAUUGAUACUGUUAGUCUUGAGUACGGUCAAGGUAGGCGGAAUGUGUAAUGUAGCGGUGAAAUGCUUAGAUAUUACACAGAACACCGAUUGCGAAGGCAGCUUACUGGGCCAUUACUGACGCUGAGGCACGAAAGCGUGGGGAGCAAACAGGAUUAGAUACCCUGGUAGUCC
rnacentral:rRNA from 1 species